rnacentral:rRNA from 1 species
UGGGGAAUUUUGCGCAAUGGGCUAACGCCUGACGCAGCAACGCCGCGUGGAGGAUGAAGGUCUUUGGAUUGUAAACUCCUGUCGGCAGGGAAAAAGCGAGCCGGCCUAAUACGCCGGUGAGUUGAUUGUACCUGCGGAGGAAGCCCCGGCUAACUCUGUGCCAGCAGCCGCGGUAAUACAGAGGGGGCAAGCGUUAUUCGGAAUUAUUGGGCGUAAAGGGCGCGUAGGCGGCCUGGCAAGUGGAAGGUGAAAUCCCUCGGCUUAACCGAGGAACUGCCCUCCAAACUGCUUGGCUUGAGUCCGGGAGAGGUGAGUGGAAUUCCCAGUGUAGCGGUGAAAUGCGUAGAUAUUGGGAGGAACACCAGUGGCGAAGGCGGCUCACUGGACCGGAACUGACGCUGAUGCGCGAAAGCGUGGGGAGCAAACGG